UAUGUUAGGUACAUGCGGUGUAAAAGAUUUGGAGUGUAUAUAUACAUUUUUUCUAACAGCAAAAAAGCGUUUUUCGAGACAAAACAAAAUAUAAAAAAAAAAAAAAAAACACAUCUUUGCCCUCAUACCUAUAUAACCUAAACGAAUAGUUUCUUCGCUCCACUCGGAAUAUAAAAACGUAAAACCGUCGUGUGUAUGGUUUUUAGUCACAAACCGAAUGUCGAAUCGAAUAAUAAUAAUAGGAUGCCGCCGAUACAGCUCAGCACUUUCACGCAGCGUUAUAGUGAAACCUAGUGGCAGUCUUGAAAUUGCGUCGAAAGGCUAUGGACGAGGAGGUGUAUAACAAUCGUUGUGUUUUCAAAUAUUUCUGCUAAGGGUUAUAUAAUAAUUAAUGAUACUCUAAAAACGUUUCGAAGUCUAGCCACUAUAAUUGCAUAAAGAAUAUUAAUUAAGAAAAAAAAAACUAUUUCGA